rnacentral:rRNA from 1 species
AGUGAACGCUGGCGGUAGGCCUAACACAUGCAAGUCGAACGGAAGCACAGUAAGAGCUUGCUCUUAAGGGUGGCGAGUGGCGGACGAGUGAGGCAUACAUCGGAAUCUACUUUUUCGUGGGGGAUAACGUAGGGAAACUUACGCUAAUACCGCAUACGACCUACGGGUGAAAGCAGGGGAUCUUCGGACCUUGCGCGAUUGAAUGAGCCGAUGUCGGAUUAGCUAGUUUGCGGGGUAAAGGCCCACCAAGGCGACGAUCCGUAGCUGGUCUGAGAGGAUGAUCAGCCACACUGGAACUGAGACAAGGUCCAGACUCCUAUGGGAGGGAGCAGGGGGGAAUAUUGGACAAUGGGGGGAAGCCUGAUCCAGCCAUACCGCGUGGGUGAAGAAGGCUUUCGGGUUGGAAAGCCCUUGUGUUGGGGAAGAAAAGCAGCAGGUUGAUACCCCGCUGUUCUGACGGUACCCAAAGAAUAAGCACCGGCUAACUUCGUG